UGGUCAUUAGAUGAAGCAAGUCGAGAAGAACAGGUGCGCCUCUUCCAAGAUGGGGUCUCAGGGUAAGAUUUUCUAAACCAUGCAAUGUCUCUUGACAUUGCUGCUGGAAGACUGAUAUGAUCAAAUGUUGGCUUAUAAAGAAAGGACCAUGCUACAUUCACCUAAUGAUUUACACAAUCUUUUACACACACAACACGUGGCGGCCCCCUAUUGGAGGCGCGGCUGGUGGGGCCGCCAUGUGUUGUGUGUGUAAAAGAUUGUGUAAAUCUUUGUGUACAAAUAGUUUAAUCCAUAAAGAAAUUACAUCUGAUAAAUGAGUGUCAGCUGAAAUGAGAUGGCGUGGUGCUUAUGUGGUAAAACAAGAAGAGGGAGAGAAUUAGAAAUAACCGCAUCUUCGCCGUUGGUUAAGGUAGCAUCCAUUAAAAAUGAAUUUGUGGGAGAAUUAUUUGAGAUGGUUUGGGCACAUCCAAAUGAGCUAAUUAGAAAGGACUUGAGCAUUUGUGGUUUAAGUUUGGAGGCGAAGGGUAGUAUUUUGGGACUUUAUUGCCACAGUAAUUUUCUGAGUAGAGACAUCCUUGACACAAAGAAAAGACAACAAUCCUAUUCCUAUAAAGUACGAAAUUGCAAAAAAACAAAUUCAAGAAAAGAGAGCUAUGAGGCUGCAAAAUGUAUAAUGAAUAAGCUCUUCACCAAUCUAUUUUGGGUUCCUAAACAUUUUGAGGGAACCAUAGCAUUUAAGAGAAGCUACCAUGACAGUCAGCAAUGGAAAUCUGAUCCUAAUAAAAUAAGAUUGUUCUUAAUUCACUUAGUACCAUGCACUUUGAAAAAAACAAAUUAUGUGGCAAAUAGGUACAGCUUUUCUCGUGGAAGGUUGCAUGUAAGUUACACAGUUAGUUACUGGUAUUGUCAUGAUAUCAUGGAAACUAACUAAUUCAACCCGUGUGAGAAGUUGGGCAAUGCAAAUUGCUGUGCUUUUUCCCUCACAUCUUUUCAACUAUUAAUUUUGACAUGAGAAAUAUUUUUUGAUUGCUCUCUUUUCUUCGGAUCUCGCAAUGCACUGAUGCAGUGCUUCAUUCGUUUUCACCUUCUCCAAUAGUACUUAACUUCAUUUUUAUUCUAUCUUGCAUCAAAUCUUAAGCGAUGCAACAAGUGUAGACAUGUUCCAUGUUUUAGUUUAGCACAAUGAUUUUACUAUUAUGAAUGAUACAGU
rnacentral:lncRNA from 1 species